UUUUGCUAAGGCUAUCCUUAAAUUGGAAUCUAAAAAUGAAGACCGAAAAUAAGUGGAGGAGCGCCUAGUUGCAUCCACGAAGUGGCCACACCUCUCUCUCUCUUGGAAGACCCACAUGACUCAUUCAUGCAACUAUUUGCCCCUUAAUAAUGUUGCCAUAACAACCAUUUGCCUCGUAAAACCUAGACUAAGACAUCUCAUGGCCAACAAGGGGGCACAUGGCUUCCCUGCUCUUCUGUACCCCAAACAAAAAAAAAACAAAAAAAACCCACAAAUUCUUAAUCUUUAAUGCUAAUUACAUGUGAAGAACAAAAAAAUUUGAAAUUACAUUUUGUAAUUGGUUGAGAACUCAAUCACACGCAUGUCCCACGUCUAACCUUUAUGGAAAAGUGCUUCAAAAGAAAAACUGCAGAUGCCCUGCCUGACAAGAAAAACGCACUUGGGCAACUCAAACAACAAUAAAAAGAGACAAAAAGAACAAAUACGUGGUUAGAUAGAUUGGGUAAUACUUAGUACAUAAGGAAAUUGGAAAAGGGAAAAAUCCAGCCGCCUAUAAGUCUCUUAGAUUUAUAGAGAAAUGGGUGAAAAUCUCUUAGAUUUGAAGGCCUUGUGUAAAAAUAAUAAUAUGUAUAUUAAAUUUUUAGAAAAUUUAUCCAAAACAUGAAAACAGAUGU
rnacentral:lncRNA from 1 species